UCGUCGCAUUGCUCGUCAAAAGAAGGCCGUGAAGAUCUUCCCUCGUCCGACGGCAGGCCCUCUUCGCCCCAUCGUUCAUGGGCAGACUUUGAAGUACAAUAUGAAGCUCAGGGCUGGGAGAGGCUUCACGCUUGAAGAGGUUAAAGCUGCAGGUAUUCCCAAGAAGCUUGCUCCAACCAUCGGUAUAUCAGUUGAUCAUCAUUGUAAGAACAAAUCUCUGGAGAACCUCCAAGCCAACGUUCAGAGGCCGAAGACUUACAAGGCCAAAUUGGUAGUCUUCCCAAGACGUGCUUGCAAG